rnacentral:rRNA from 1 species
AUAAAUAAGCGGAGGAAAAGAAACCAAACGGGAUUCCCUUAGUAACGGCGAGCGAAAAGGGAAAUGUCCAGCACCAAGUCUUGACAUCUAUGGUGUUCAAGAGAUGCGGUGUUAAUGUGUCGACCCAUCGUGCACUGUUCCACAUUUCAAGUUCCUACGACCGGGACUUCCAGAGCGGGUGUAAGACCCAUAGAGAUGAGGAACCAGUGUAUGCUGAGCGAUGCAUUCUAGAGUCAGGUUGCUUGAGAGUGCAGCUUAAAGUCGGUGGUAAACUCCAUCCAAGACUAAAUAUUACAGCGAGACCGAUAGCAAACAAGUACCGUGAGGGAAAGUUGCAAAGCACUUUGAAGAGAGAGUUCAAAAGUACGUGAAACCACUGGGAGGCAAACAGAUGGAACCACGAAGUUGCGCCUCUGUCGAUUCAAUCAACAUUAUUUGUCAAUUGUUGAGAAUUGGGAUCUUUUCGGAGAUUGAUUCUCAAUGAUUUGAUGGAUGAUGUUGGUGCAUUUCGAAUAGAGGAUGCUAAGCCACGUUCAACUAGAGUUGGGACGGCUGUAAGAAAGAAUCCGAGAAAGGUGCCCGUCACRUGCUUGCAUUUGACGGCGUUAUAGUCUUGGAUUGGCACCGUCACCAAACAUACUGGUUGAUGAAAGUUCUCCAUUUGGAGUUGAACCAUGUCUGCCUGUGGCUGUUAGUCGAUGUUGCGUAAUGUUCUUUGCGUAUCUUUCGAUGCGAAAAGACUUUGCAAAGAUGUCGGCUAGUGGUUGCUUGCGUGUCAUGGUGGAACUGUGGCGCGAGUAGGUCGGUCUCCAUCUGACCCGUCUUGAAACACGGACCAAGGAGCCUAUCAUAUACGCGAGUCGCACGGUCUUGUUUAGGCCAGUGAGGCGUAAUGAAAGUAAAGUUACGAGACUUUUUUUAGUUGCAGUAACGGCUCGCCCACUUUGUUUAUUGGCAAUAUGGCGAAGCUGGAGCGUAUACGAUGGUACCCGAAAGAUGGUGAACUAUGCCUGGGCAAGACGAAGCCAGAGGAAACUCUGGUGGAGGUCUGUAGCGAUUCUGACGUGCAAAUCGAUCGUCAGACCUGGGUAUAGGGGCGAAAGACUAAUCGAACCAUCUAGUAGCUGGUUCCCUCCGAAGUUUCCCUCAGGAUAGCAGGCGUUUUUUUUGUGCAGUGUCAUCCGGUAAAGCUAAUGAUUAGAGGUCUUGGGGUUGAAACGACCUCAACCUAUUCUCAAACUUUAAAUGGGUGAGAUGGUUGACUUUCUUGAUUGAAGCCAACCAUUUGGAUGCAAAUGCCUAGUGGGCCAUUUUUGGUAAGCAGAACUGGCGCUGUGGGAUGAACCAAACGUCGAGAUAAGGCAUCAAAUGCGUACGCUCAUCAGACCCCAUGAAAGGUGUUGGUUGCUAUAGACAGCAGGACGGUGGCCAUGGAAGUCGGAAUCCGCUAAGGAGUGUGUAACAACUCACCUGCCGAAGCAACUAGCCCUGAAAAUGGACGAUGCUGUAGCGUGGAGCCGAUACUCGACCGUUACAAUUAAUCAUUURRWGUAAGAUGUUGUAACGAGUAGGAGGGCCGCAGUGUUAGCGUUGAAGGUGUCCGGCGUGAGCCGGCCUGGAGCUAUCAUUGUU